rnacentral:miRNA from 1 species
UUACAAUCUAUUUUUAAUAACAUCCACAACUUACUAAAAACAGAUUUCUCAGAGCUUUCCCCAUAGGUUCUGAUUCUGUGUGUUGGAGGUGAAGUCCAGGAAUCUGCAUUUUAAAUAACAUCCCAGAGGAUUCUGAUGCA